GAUGAACGCUGGCGGCGUGCCUAAUACAUGCAAGUCGAGCGAACAGACGAGGAUCUUGCUCCUCUGACGUUAGCGGCGGACGGGUGAGUAACACGUGGAUAACCUACCUAUAAGACUGGGAUAACUUCGGGAAACCGGAUCUAAUACCGGAUAAUAUAUUGAACCGCAUGGUUCAAUAGUGAAAGACGGUUUUGCUGUCACUUAUAGAUGGAUCCGCGCCGCAUUAGCUAGUUGGUAAGGUAACGGCUUACCAAGGCAACGAUGCGUAGCCGACCUGAGAGGGUGAUCGGCCACACUGGAACUGAGACACGGUCCAGACUCCUAAGGGAGGCAGCAGUAGGGAAUCUUCCGCAAUGGGCGAAAGCCUGACGGAGCAACGCCGCGUGAGUGAUGAAGGUCUUCGGAUCGUAAAACUCUGUUAUUAGGGAAGAACAAAUGUGUAAGUAACUAUGCACGUCUUGACGGUACCUAAUCAGAAAGCCACGGCUAACUACGUG
rnacentral:rRNA from 1 species